GAUGAACGCUGGCGGCGUGCUUAACACAUGCAAGUCGAACGGACAGGCCCUGCUUUUGCUCGUUGCUCGAGUGGCGAACGGGUGUGUAUCACGCGAGUAUCCUCUCCUUGACAUUGGGAUAUCUUCACGAAACUCCGGCUAUUACCGGAUAUGAGCUCCUGCUCCGUGUGGGUGGUUGGAAAGUUUCGGCGGUAGGGGAUAGACUCGCGGGUUAUCAGCUGGUUUGUGGGGUAGUGGCUUACGAAGGCUUCGACGGCUAGCCGGCCUGAGAGGGUGACCGGGCACAAGGGGACUAAGAGACGGACCAGACGCCUACGGGAGGCAGCAGUGGGGAGUAUUGCACAAUGGGCGGAAGCCUGAUGCAGAAACGCCGCGUGCGGGAUGACGGCCUUCGGGUUAUAAACCGCUUUCGCCUGUGACGAAGCGUGAGUGACGGUAAUGGGUAAGAAAGCACCGGCUAACUACGUG
rnacentral:rRNA from 1 species